GCCAAAAUAGCUCAGUUUGGAGAGCGUUAGACUGAAGAAUUAAAGGUCCCUGGUUCGAUCCCGGGUUUCGGCA
rfam:Daphnia pulex DAPPTscaffold_317_Cont8617, whole genome shotgun sequence.